rnacentral:rRNA from 1 species
AACGAACGCUGGCGGCAGGCUUAACACAUGCAAGUCGAGCGCCCCGCAAGGGGAGCGGCAGACGGGUGAGUAACGCGUGGGAAUCUACCCAUCUCUACGGAAUAACGCAUGGAAACGUGUGCUAAUACCGUAUACGUUCUUCGGGAGAAAGAAUUAUCGGAGAUGGAUGAGCCCGCGUUGGAUUAGCUAGUUGGUGGGGUAAAGGCCUACCAAGGCGACGAUCCAUAGCUGGUCUGAGAGGAUGAUCAGCCACAAUGGGACUGAGACACGGCCCAGACUCCUACGGGAGGCAGCAGUGGGGAAUAUUGGACAAUGGGCGCAAGCCUGAUCCAGCCAUGCCGCGUGAGUGAUGAAGGCCCUAGGGUUGUAAAGCUCUUUCACCGGUGAAGAUAAUGACGGUAACCGGAGAAGAAGCCCCGGCUAACUUCGUGCCAGCCGCCGCCGUAAUAC